ensembl:lncRNA novel transcript
CUGGAGUACUGUGGGUUACCACUGGAGGGGUUUGAGCAGAGCCAUGGCAUAUACUGAUCUACGUGUAUGUGUUUCUAAGCAAAACUUCUUGGAAGAAAAGGAAAUUCUUAGAAGCAAUUAGAGUAUCACACCCAUGCUAUACCCUUUGAUUCAUUAGCUUGCUCUGUUUUUCUGUUAUUUUGAAAUUACCCAAGUGGAAGCAGAAAAACUGCCAGGAAAAUGUCACAGCCACCCCUUACUGAACAGCAGAAACACCAGCAAAACACCAACUGCAACAUGGUGUAUUUUGAAGGUGAGAUUAAAUUUACCUACACCUAGAGAAAUAAUUGGAGCACAUGUCUAUUUGGGCCAAGAGGAUAAAGGCCAGUAGAGGAAUCAGAUCAAAGAACUUCCUCAGGGAAGUGUGCAGAGAACUGGAGUGGACCUUCCCCUAGGAAGCUGCCCAAAACGAGAGUGCUGGAAAGCUGGCCGCAGUGAGGCACUUCAGAUCCCAAGGGUAUGCUGGGGAAGCUGCCACAGGUGGGAGCACUUGCUGCUGGACCCUAGGCACUGUUGAAACAACUGCACCAUCUGCAGGAGCCCAGCAAGAGGUGCCUUCAGCCAUGAUUAUAAGUUUCCUGAGGCCUCCCCAGCCAUAAGAAACUCCAAAGCCAGGCAUCCCAUCUGGAGAGAGAGAAGACUGAAGCAGAAACACAAUGGGAAGGAAGCAAAGAUGGAGAGAUGAGUUUUUGGAUUCAACUGAAGCCCUUGCUAUCUGCUAGAGUCAGAGUCAUCACAAUUGGGGGGUCUUCAUUAAGCUACACUUUUUAAUGGAACAUCCUAGUGAGGUUUGAGAGUACAGCUUUAUGGUCUAUAUUACAUUACUAAGCCGAUUUUAU